rnacentral:tRNA from 1 species
UCCUGGUUAGCUCAGUCGGUAGAGCGCUCCACUGAAAAUGGAGAGGUCCCUGGUUCGAUUCCAGGACCAUGCGGAA